GGCUGCGGAGGAGGCCGCCCUGACCCUGCUGCUCCUCAUAUUCUGCUCCUGCCCAUCCACUGGGCUCCCCGCUUCCUGCUCCAACCCUUGCCCAUUCUCUAAGCUGGCCUGGCUUCUGCCCUCUGCACUCAGGGGAUCCUGCCCAACACUCUCUAGCCUUGGGGGGCUGCAUCUAGUGCCCCAUGCACCCUGUGCCCAGCUCCUGUGUGCACACAGAAGCCCUUGGUACACACUUGCUGCAGGAACAACAAAAGCUGUGGCGAAUUUGUGGCAUUCUCUGAGGGGAAAAGGAACAGGAGUGAGGCAUCUGGAGCAAGGGUAAGCAGCUCACUGCAUCGUGAGCUUUUGGUUAUGCUGCAUUCUCUGGCAGAGCCUGGAAGGCCGGACGAAGCGUGGACACUGGAAACUGCUCAGUGCAGCCCGUCUGGGGUGGGCUCUGUCCCUGGGGAACACACAGAAGUGGCUGCUGCCCUGUGCUUCCUGGGAGAAGGUCCACGACUCCCAGCUGCCUCGCCGGAGCGGUGGCCCCACCUGGGCCAGUCUAGCACAACCCGGACGACCUGCUGCCCCUCUCAUCCCCAAACCCAGGUGAUCCCCCAGGCUUACUGGUUCAUCUCCGAAAUAUUCAGGAUCCCUCCCAUCUCUCCAUCUCCAUGGCAACCACUUUAGUUAGGCCAAGUCACCAGAAUUUCUCACCUGAACUACUCCCGAAGUCUCCUUUCCUUUCUUGCAUAUUACUUGUGAUUGAUGUCCUAAAGGACCUGGAAUAAAAUCCAAACAGCCUGUGCCGUGCCUAACUCUGCAACUUCUUCACCACAUCUGUCCUCUGCCAUCCUCUUAGCCACACUGGCCUUAUUUUUGCUCUGUGGGCAGAUGAACUUCUUCCUGCCACAGGACCUUUGCAUGUGUUGCCUGGGUCUUCCCUGAG
rnacentral:lncRNA from 1 species